CCUACGGGAGGCAGCAGUGAGGAAUAUUGGUCAAUGGGCGGGAGCCUGAACCAGCCAAGCCGCGUGAGGGAAGAAGGUACUGCGUAUCGUAAACCUCUUUUGUCAGGGAACAAAGGCGGGGACUUGUCCCCGGAUGAGGGUACCUGAAGAAAAAGCAUCGGCUAACUCCGUGCCAGCAGCCGCGGUAAUACGGAGGAUGCGAGCGUUAUCCGGAUUUAUUGGGUUUAAAGGGUGCGCAGGCGGCCUGUUAAGUCAGCGGGAAAAGCCCGGGGCAAAACCCCGGCCCGCCGUUGAAACUGGCGGGCUGGAGUUGGAGAGAGGUAGGCGGAAUGCGCGGUGUAGCGGUGAAAUGCUUAGAGAUCGCGCAGAACCCCGAUGGCGAAGGCAGCGUACCGGCUCCACACUGACGCUGAGGCACGAAAGCGUGGGUAUCGAACAGGAUUAGAUACCCUUGUAGUC
rnacentral:rRNA from 1 species